rnacentral:rRNA from 1 species
GAUGAACGCUGGCGGCGUGCCUAACACAUGCAAGUCGAGCGAACAGACGAGGAGCUUUCUCGUCGGACGGUAGCGGCGGACGUGAGAGUAACACGUGGACAACCUACCUAGAAGACUGGGAUAACUUCGGGAAACCGUAGCUAAUACCGGAUAAUAUAUUGAACCGCAUGGUGCAAUAGUUAAAGACGGUUUUGCGGUCACUUAUAGAUGGAUCCGCGCCGCAUUAGCUAGUUGGUAAGGUAACGGCUUACCAAGGCAACGAUGCGUAGCCGACCUGAGAGGGUGAUCGGCCACACUGGAACUGAGACACGGCCCAGACUCCUACGGGAGGCAGCAGUGGGGAAUCUUGCGCAAUGGGCGAAAGCCUGACCGAGCAACGCCGCGUGAAGGAUGAAGGUCUUCGGAUCGUAAAACUCUGUUGUUAGGAAAGAACAAAUGUGUGAGUAACUAUGCGCGUCAUGACGGUACCUAAUCAGAAAGCCCCGGCUAACUACGUG